GGCCUCAGAUUGAGUGUCCCAAAGUCAAAGAAUCAUCCACAUGUGGUGAGAAAGCUAAAAAAAAAAGUCCUUUAAACCUUGCCCUAAUUUUCAAAUAAAGUCUCUUUUUUGUGAUCAAUCCUAGCUAGCUAGCACAUGACACCCAACAUUCUAUAGUAAUCUCUCUUACCCGUUUGAUGAUAUCUCUUUUUUUCACAUGGCCUCAACCUUGCAGCAUUCACAAUCCUAUUUUUAAUCACCAACUCAAGCAUUUGAUGCAUUUCUUAUUCAAUAAUUAGAAAGCACACCCUUAAAUCAGCAUGAAAAUGGAACUUUUCCCCUACAAAUGUACAUUAACCUUUUACUUUUCAUGUAAAAAUGGUUACAUAUACUAUGAGCUACAUAAUUGUGUCUAGUAUAGUCAAUUUUCCACAUUUUUUAAAUAAUUAAUUAGGUAUUUUUUAGGAUAAUUAAGUAGAUGGUUUGUUUAAAAAAUUAUAAGAUGUAAUAAUCCUUACAAAA
rnacentral:misc_RNA from 1 species